rnacentral:rRNA from 1 species
CAGUCGCCACGGUAAUACGUAGGUGGCAAGCGUUAUCCGGAAUUAUUGGGCGUAAAGGGCUCGCAGGCGGUUUCUUAAGUCUGAUGUGAAAGCCCCCGGCUCAACCGGGGAGGGUCAUUGGAAACUGGGAAACUUGAGUGCAGAAGAGGAGAGUGGAAUUCCACGUGUAGCGGUGAAAUGCGUAGAGAUGUGGAGGAACACCAGUGGCGAAGGCGACUCUCUGGUCUGUAACUGACGCUGAGGAGCGAAAGCGUGGGGAGCGAACAGGAUUAGAUACCCGUGUAGUCCCUGUCUCUUAUAA